AAAAGCUCUAAGAAUAU
rnacentral:tRNA from 1 species